CCAUCGCCGCCCGGGAUGCCCUUCCCCAGCGCCGGGAGAAGUAGGACUUUGUACUCACCCCCUGCCUGCUGCGGUAGCUCUGAGUUUGGAGACCGGCUCUGAUUCCGGCUCCAUCACGUUUAGUGCAUUGUCUCUUUCGGGCAAUUUUUGCAGCAAUCCAUCAGAAAAAGGGGGACAGGCCGGUUUGUGGGUACAUCCUUCCCAGGAGCUCAGCUCUCUGCCUCUCUAAGGGGCUCAGCUGUGUCAAAGACACCCCCUGGCCCGGACGGCUCACUCCUUCCUCCUUCUCUUCUGGGUCCUUUUGCUUACACAGAUCUUUUAAUCCCAUUUAACUCCCUCUCGGCAGACUGCAAUUACCUUGGGAAAAAGGAGAGAGAACAGAAAGUACACGCUAGGAAGCCAGGCUGGCCCAUGGUCGCUGGAUUUCUCGCCUCUCUUUUUCCUCCUUAUUAUUAGUACAAUUUCUGUGAUCUCUGAUUUCCAAAGUCCUUGAUUGAAAGUGUUUUUUUCUUAGCUGUUACUUUUUUUUUUUGAUUUGGUUGGUGGUUGUAAUUAUUUUUAUUUGCCGUGCAGAUGUGCCUCCCACCCCCCCAAGGAUCUCUCCUCCGGACUUAGAGAGGAGAGGAAAAGGCAGAUUUUGAGAAAUGAAAAUUAUUUAAGGAUGUCCCUGCUGCCUCUCUCUGCUGCCCUCCUCCGUAAUACAGAAGCACUUACAAAAAAUAAUACAAAGUAAAUAAAUAAAAAAAAAAAGAAGAAAUUCUCCAGCCAGAGGAACAGCAGAGAAAUAAUCGAGGACCCCUUCCAGUCCACGCGGGGAGCGAGAGAGAGGAGAAAGCUGCACAGGCCAAGCGCUCGCGGGCUGGAGCRGCCGCCGAGGACGAUCGCGGCAGCCCCGCUGCGCUCACCUGCCGGGGCAAGCCUGGAGACUAACCCGGCCCAGACCCUGCCCGGAGCUGCUUCAACCCUCCUCGCYGCGGGAUGGCAAAGGACCUGCCUUAAAAGGUACCUGACGUGGCUUUUCCCCUUUGGCUCGGCGCUCGGAGGAGGCAGUUCAGACCGCGGAGGUGGCCGAGACCCGCGGGAGGGACCCUCGGCCCCCGGUGCCUCCCCAUCCUGCCCCGCUUGGCUGGGGGGCACAGGUGGCACAUCUGCAACCCGAGACACAGCCAAGAGGCUACAGUAGAACUUCUUUAGAAGGGAUACAGCCAAUGCUGGGCAGAGCAGAGAUCUUCCAAGGAGAAGUGUGGUGCCAACAGACACCUAGCUAUGUGGCUACAGCAAUACUCAGCACUAAUUUACAACAGCAGUGAAAGAACUCUCCUUAAAUGUGGARCAGAGAAAGAAAACAGAAUAAAAGUCAAAUCUGAGUGGACUGGUUAUUGAAA
rnacentral:lncRNA from 1 species